rnacentral:rRNA from 1 species
AUUGACAGAUUGAGAGCUCUUUCUUGAUUCGGUGGGUGGUGGUGCAUGGCCGUUCUUAGUUGGUGGAGCGAUUUGUCUGGUUAAUUCCGAUAACGAACGAGACUCUAGCCUGCUAAAUAGGUGGCGGGUUUUAUUAAAAAAUUUGGGUUCGGAGUUCGCCGGGACCAGGGUGUUGUGUCGGUGGGCCGUGUCACGGGGUCUCGGGAGACGGGGGGUGUUUGAAUGGGAUGCUUGGCGGCUUUCGGGCCGUCGUGUGUCUUUAAUUCGGACCUCACAUCCGGGCCUUUGAUUCGGUGGCGCGGUCGGUCGGUCGGCGCUCCCCGGCGGUUCGCUUCGUUCUCGCGUCCGUCACAACUCUUCUUAGAGGGACAAGCGGCGUCCAGCCGCGUGACAGUGAGCAAUAACAGGUCUGUGAUGCCCUUAGAUGUCCUGGGCCGCACGCGCGCUACACUGAAGGAAUCAGCGUGUUUUUCUCCCCCUGUCCGAAAGGACCGGGUAACCGCUGAACCUCCUUCGUGG